rnacentral:snoRNA from 11 species
ACUUGGUAUGAAGGUAGUGUAAUGUAAAACACAUUGCAGAAGUCCGAUCUUGAGGUUACCACUACGUGCACUACCAUCUUUAGGU